rnacentral:rRNA from 1 species
GAUGAACGCUGGCGGCGUGCCUAAUACAUGCAAGUCGAGCGAACGGACGAGAAGCUUGCUUCUCUGAUGUUAGCGGCGGACGGGUGAGUAACACGUGGAUAACCUACCUAUAAGACUGGGAUAACUUCGGGAAACCGGAGCUAAUACCGGAUGAUCUUUUGAACCGCAUGGUUCAAAAGUGAAAGACGGUCUUGCUGUCACUUAUAGAUGGAUCCGCGCUGCAUUAGCUAGUUGGUAAGGUAACGGCUUACCAAGGCAACGAUGCAUAGCCGACCUGAGAGGGGGAUAGGACACACGGGAACUGAUACACGGUCCAGACUCCUACGGGAGGCAGCAGUAGGGAAUCUUCCGCAAUGGGCGAAAGCCUGACGGAGCAACGCCGCGUGAGUGAUGAAGGUCUUCGGAUCGUAAAACUCUGUUAUUAGGGAAGAACAGAUGUGUAAGUAACUGUGCACAUCUUGACGGUACCUAAUCAGAAAGCCACGGCUAACUACGUG